CUACUUUCUUCAUCUCCCGCUUUCCUACUGUCUACUACGCGACUUCUCACCUCCUCCCACCGCCUGCCACCGCCUGAAGUGGUACGUGGCUCUACCAUGUGGUCGAGGGCGUGAUUGUGAUGGUGGCCUGCCACUGCCACCAAUACCGUCAGAUCCUUCCCAGGUUAGGGAAGUAUCCUCUCGACUACCCACACCACCGGAUACACCCACACCAUCCCCCGCCUCGCAGACUCCAGAUGAUAUUGGUACACCUAGAGCUGCAUGUAUGGUUGCGGAUGAUGCUUACAACAGCUUGCAACACCGGCGGCUGCUCCACCACCACCAUCAGCUAGACACUACAUCAGUGUCGAUAGCGCGAGGUCUGAUCGGUGGUUCCAUGAGCGCAUCAAAUGCGCUCGUAUGGGGAUAUUUCCCCACCCGUGGUCGUGUCUAAGGAAGGUACAGCCAGAGCACCAACAUUUCUGGUUCAAGAGCAUGAAGAUGAUCUACUGGUGGGACUGUGAUGAUGAGUCCAUAUUUCGAGUCAUCCACAUGUGGGCCGGGAAGUACAUCUGGAAGACCUUUUUCCGUCACAUGGUCCAGCCUUGUAAAGCCACUAUGGUUGGCUAACAAGGUCUGGCUACAGCUCCAGACGUAUUGGGCUAGCGAAGACUUCCAAUUGGAGUCCUCCACGAAUAAGGCGAACUGGGUGGCGUCCUCAACUGUGUACCCAGGAGUUUUACUCAAUAGGUAGCACAAGAGGAAGUUGAAGUUGAGCUCGAACAACCGCCUAAACAAAUGGAAUUAUUUGAGCAUUGCUACAAGAAGAAAGAGGAGAUAGUUGGAGCGGGCCAAGGGCGGCGGAGGUGGCGAAGAUGCUGGAGGAUCAUCAGUCCCAGCCCACGACCGACGACCUCAGUGCCCUUGCUGAUUCUGAGGCUUUGGUGGCAAUGACGGAGCAAUAGAUGUGGUUGGCUGCAGUCAGGGCCGAG